UCAAGUGCCAAGCUAAAUUUGUUUAUGUUACUUCGUACUUAGUUUGAAUUGAGUAUAGUUCCACGAACUUACUGAUAAUUUCUUGAGUAUAAUUGAAAAGAUUUAAUAGACUUAAAACACCUGGACAGGGCAAAUGGUCAAAACUACCUGAAAAGUUUCUCUUUUCCCUUUGUCAAUCUGUCAACCCUACCAUCAAUACAAAGUUGAACAGUACGAUUAAACACCCUAAAGGAACUAAUUAAAAAAGAACUAGAAGCAGCUGCUAUAAAAACCGCAGAUAAACCGUCCACUUCAAAGGAGUCUCCUGAGACCAAAAAGGAACUUACCGCCGAAUCUUCCGCUUCAGAUUCCAAAUUCAAAAGAUGGAAGCUCAAAAGAGGAGGCACAUCUCAGGAAUAAUGCUAAUAAAUUAGAAAAAACAGGCAACGUACGACAGUUGUUGUCACUUUGACAUUUAUUAUCUAAAUUUAAAAUGUGAUGGGUUAAGUUUAAAAUGGAAGAAGAACCCUCGGGAUAUUCCAAUGUGUUGGAUGAAUUAAUCGACGUUAUUUCCAAUGAACUCCAAAAGACUCCAUCUCAAAGUUUUCCCAUUGAAGGACAGUCAAAAGUACCAUCUAAAACUUCUGUUGCAAGUAACUCCAAAAGCGAGGCCAAUGAAGACCAAGAAGAAAGAUCAAACAUAAUCAGACAGUUUGAAAUAAAACCUCCCGAUGAAACUAAACCAGGAAUUACGUAUGUCGUAAUAAUAACAAACUCAAAUAGCAAUUCAAGCAUGGCCUUUACCGACAGUAGCGUUUCUUCUGAUCUUUCUUCUGAAUAAUAAAUGUUUUAACAGUU